CCCAGCUGAUUUCCUCCCCAUCCUCACCAGCAGCAGGACAACCACCACGGCUGAGGGGACGAAGACAAGGACGGAGAGGAGGGCCACAGAGGAGAGCAUGAUGCCAAACCCUAGACAGGGGGAAAGGAAAGACAGGCAGAGAGAGAGAGGGAGACGCAGAAUCGGAAGCGGGCUCUGGGCUUGGAGCUGUCAGCACAGGACCCCACGCGGGGCCUGAACCCACGAACCGCGAGAUCGUGACCUGAGCCGAAGUUGGGCGCUCAACCAACUGAGCCACCCAGGUCUUUGGCUCCAAUCCAACUGAGGAUUAGAAUGGCCACUCAAGAGUCACCAGGGGAUAAUGUCGAAAAAAAAAAAAGGUCAGUCCCUAACCUACUUUCCUUGGGUUUCACACCAAAAGGAAACUGCUGCCCUUUCCAACAUAAAAGAAGUAUGCUGCCCCCCUCGUUAGAGGGGGCACCCUUUCAAGACACGGGCAAGAACACGGCCUCACAACUGAGGGCGCAAACGGACUAGGGAAAUCAAAUGACCUAUCUUUCACACAGGUAACAAGCCCCCCUUUACGGAGGGGUUUGCCAUGCAUCCCACAAGACCUCUGGUCACCUGAAGUUAAAAUAAAAGAGAUUCACAGGGAAACUAGAACAACAAUUGAAUGACAGCUGCAGGUUGCAAAGUAAAGAUUAAGAAAUUCAUCCUAAGAGACAAUUAGCAUGGCAGAAGUCCCCACUGACUGACUGGCUCACAAAGACAGGUAGUUUAGCUUGUCCCUGACCACCCGGGCAAGCACCACAGGAGGCACAAAGCCCCGCAGCAGGUUGGCGGCAGUUAGCUUACCCCUCU